GGCAGGGCGGGUGCUAUACAUGCAGUCGAGCGAACCGAUUAAGAGCUUGCUCUUAAUAAGUUAGCGGCGGACGGGUGAGUAACACGUGGGUAACCUGCCUAUAAGACUGGGAUAACUCCGGGAAACCGGGGCUAAUACCGGAUAACAUUUUGCACCGCAUGGUGCGAAAUUGAAAGGCGGCUUCGGCUGUCACUUAUAGAUGGACCUGCGGCGCAUUAGCUAGUUGGUGAGGUAACGGCUCACCAAGGCGACGAUGCGUAGCCGACCUGAGAGGGUGAUCGGCCACACUGGGACUGAGACACGGCCCAGACUCCUACGGGAGGCAGCAGUAGGGAAUCUUCCGCAAUGGACGAAAGUCUGACGGAGCAACGCCGCGUGAGCGAUGAAGGCCUUCGGGUCGUAAAGCUCUGUUGUUAGGGAAGAACAAGUGCUAGUUGAAUAAGCUGGCACCUUGACGGUACCUAACCAGAAAGCCACGGCUAACUACGUGCCAGCAGCCGCGGUAAUACGUAGGUGGCAAGCGUUAUCCGGAAUUAUUGGGCGUAAAGCGCGCGCAGGUGGUUUCUUAAGUCUGAUGUGAAAGCCCACGGCUCAACCGUGGAGGGUCAUUGGAAACUGGGAGACUUGAGUGCAGAAGAGGAAAGUGGAAUUCCAUGUGUAGCGGUGAAAUGCGUAGAGAUAUGGAGGAACACCAGUGGCGAAGGCGACUUUCUGGUCUGUAACUGACACUGAGGCGCGAAAGCGUGGGGAGCAAACAGGAUUAGAUACCCUGGUAGUCCACGCCGUAAACGAUGAGUGCUAAGUGUUAGAGGGUUUCCGCCCUUUAGUGCUGAAGUUAACGCAUUAAGCACUCCGCCUGGGGAGUACGGCCGCAAGGCUGAAACUCAAAGGAAUUGACGGGGGCCCGCACAAGCGUGGAGCAUGUGGUUUAAUUCGAAGCAACGCGAAGAACCUUACCAGUCUUGACAUCUCUGAAAACCUAGAGAUAGGCUUCCCCUUCGGGGCAGGAGUGACAGUGGUGCAUGAUGUCGUCAGCCUCGUGUCAUUGAGAUGUAGGGUUAGUCCAGCACGAGCGCAACCCAUGCAUCUAGCUGCAUCAUAGUUGGCACACUCCGA
rnacentral:rRNA from 1 species